AGUCAUUUGGUUGGGUAAGGGAAGGCUUUUAUUCAAGUGAUUCAAGAGAUUCAAAACAUAUGAUCUUUAAGGUGGUUUACUCUCGAAACAAGUAGCCUUGACAGUGCACAUAAUAUAUCUAAGAAAGGGAUCAACUCAUGCAUACAAUGCUCAAUCUCCAUUGUUCUACCCUUUUCCCAAACAUACAAUUACACAAUCAUUUCUCAAUGUCAAACCCAACUCACAUCUCUCACCAAGAGAUUCUAAAAACAUCAGCUCUUUCUCUUUGAAAUCUACAAGGGAUUUUUCACAACCUCAAAACAUUUCUUAGCUCCUAACAACUUUGCUAGCCCCCUUUUCUUUCUUUUCUUUUUCUUUUUCUUUUCUCUUUUUUUUUCUUUUUCGUUUUUUUUUUUUUUUUUUUAAAGGGUGGGGCCCAAGACUAAACAACUUUGCUAGCCCCCUUUUCUUUUUUUUUUUUUUUUUUUUGUUUUUUUUUUUUUUUUUAAAGGCUGGGGGCCAAGACUUUUCAAAACUUGAGCUAGAGGUUUCUCUACUUAUCCCAAUAAAACAAUUCACUUAAACACAAAGAGUCUAUUCUUUUCCUUUUUCAUUUCUCCCAAAUCAUAAUCACAACACUCACCCCCACCUAUAGCUAGACAAUAGAGUGUCCAAUCUAGCAAGAAUG
rnacentral:lncRNA from 1 species